rnacentral:rRNA from 1 species
AACGCUAGCUACAGGCUUAACACAUGCAAGUCGAGGGGCAGCGGAGGAGUUAGCUUGCUAACUUCAGACGGCGACCGGCGCACGGGUGAGUAACACGUAUCCAACCUGGCCGUUACUCGGGAAUAGCCUUCCGAAAGGAAGAUUAAUGCUCGAUGGUAUAUAUUUAUCGCAUGAUUUCUAUAUUAAAGAUUUAUCGGUAGCGGAUGGGGAUGCGUUCCAUUAGAUAGUUGGCGGGGUAACGGCCCACCAAGUCUUCGAUGGAUAGGGGUUCUGAGAGGAAGGUCCCCCACACUGGAACUGAGACACGGUCCAGACUCCUACGGGAGGCAGCAGUGAGGAAUAUUGGUCAAUGGACGCAAGUCUGAACCAGCCAAGUAGCGUGAAGGAUGACUGCCCUAUGGGUUGUAAACUUCUUUUAUACGGGAAUAAAAGACAUUACGUGUAGUGUUUUGCAUGUACCGUUAUGAAUAAGCAUCGGCUAAUUCCGUGCCAGCAGCCGCGGUAAUACGGAAGAUGCGAGCGUUAUCCGGAUUUAUUGGGUUUAAAGGGAGCGUAGGCGGGUUUUUAAGUCAGCUGUGAAAGUUUGAGGCUCAACCUUAAAAUUGCAGUUGAUACUGGAGACCUUGAGUGCGGUAAAGGUAGGCGGAAUUCGUGGUGUAGCGGUGAAAUGCUUAGAUAUCACGAAGAACUCCGAUUG